rnacentral:lncRNA from 1 species
UUGACCAGCAAAUGUGGGGGCAUCUACUCGUACGGUACGAAGUAGUCGCUCGUCAAGAUCGCGCUGGUGAUCAGGAGGAAGUUGGUUCCUAGGGGGAUGGGGAAAAGCUACAGGUAGUGUGGCCAAACCAAGCUCAGGAUAAGCUGCGAUUGGGGUUGACGGUUCAGGAUUCCUAGGAUGUUGCACUAGAGCACGGAUCUCUCUUUUGAAUUCAUCUUGAUCAGCUCGUAAUGCAGCUAAUUGUUCCAAAAUAUCUUGUAAAACUCUGGGAUCCAUGGUGGGUAAAGAGGUCUGAGAGUCAGUGAGGAGGUACUCUCUACCACUACGGGUUGGCAUGCAGGGACUACUCUAGUUGGU